AGCGAACGCUGGCGGCAGGCUUAACACAUGCAAGUCGAGCGGGCGUAGCAAUACGUCAGCGGCAGACGGGUGAGUAACGCGUGGGAACAUACCUUUUGGUUCGGAACAACACAGGGAAACUUGUGCUAAUACCGGAUAAGCCCUUACGGGGAAAGAUUUAUCGCCGAAAGAUUGGCCCGCGUCUGAUUAGCUAGUUGGUGAGGUAACGGCUCACCAAGGCGACGAUCAGUAGCUGGCUGAGAGGAUGAUCAGCCACAUUGGGACUGAGACACGGCCCAAACUCCUACGGGAGGCAGCAGUGGGGAAUAUUGGACAAUGGGCGAAAGCCUGAUCCAGCCAUGCCGCGUGAGUGAUGAAGGCCCGUAGGGUUGUAAAGCUCUUUUGUGCGGGAAGAUAAUGACGGUACCGCAAGAAUAACGCCCC
rnacentral:rRNA from 1 species